CGUGUGUGUGCAUUUCAGGAUAACUCUCACUCCUUCGAAGUUGGAAUUGGUAAGAGAUCGAGUUUUUGUCUUCUGACUGCGCUGAUUGAUUGACUCGUGGACGAUCCAUCAGAGAGAUUCAGAGGUGAGUGACGACUAUAUGUCUGUCCGUAUAGUCAGUGUUUACCGUUGAGAGUCCAGUCACAACGGUUUGCAUUCUUUGACUGAUCACAGUUACAGUUAUCUCUCAGCCAGGCAGGAGGUAUCUGAAUUGAAUUCCCAACUGAAGACUGUCGAUCGAAGCCUCUGAAUUUCUCCAGCCGCAAGGUUCAGGUUCUUGGUUGUAUAUUUGAUCCUUGUCGCCCCCUUGUUCAGUUGGCGAAACGAAAACUUUUUGGACAUAGACCUGCUGCAUACAUAGGUACGUGUGCAGUGUGCUGAUCCGGUCGCCUUAAUUAAUUAAUUAAUUAAUUAAUAUAAUAAAGUCUAAAAAGACUAAAACGCGUUCUCUGUCGUCCCGUCCGUCGACGUCGAGGAGCUAGCGACGGAGACGGACGACCCUGUCCAGUCAGGCGAAGGCGCGGGCGGCCACUGGCCACUCCAGUCGCUGUCGUCGUCGUCCGGCUCUGUCUCGCUCAGCGACGGAGAUAUGCAUGGAGCUACGAUGGGCCAUGCAUUCAUGCAGUGGUAGAGUGUGGAGAUUGGCGACGCCCGGGCCGCGACAGCAACAGGCCGGGCGUGGCGCCGCUCCGUCCGACGACGCGCGGGCGACUGGACACAGCCAUCGCUUUCGCGUCAGGAUCAGGAUCACCAAGCUGAUCGACUGCCAGUACAUACUGUGCCUAAUUGCUAAGGCCUUGUUUAGUUCACCUUAAAAAUUAAAAAAAAAAUAGAUUUCUCGUCAUAUCAAAUCUUACGACACAGCAUUAAAUAUAGUCAAAAAAAAAUUAAUUAUAUAAUUUAUCUGUAAAUCACGAGAUGGACUUUUAAAUCUAGUUAGUCAACCGGCCGGAGCAGCUAAAGCAAAGCGACGAAUUAACGAACCGACCGGGCGAUGACUGUGAGGAAGACGAUGGUGCGAGGAGGAGCUAUUAGCGCGUUGCAUCCGUUGGACUUGACAUGGUCGUGCGACGGAUCGGAUCACCGUCGGUCAGUCCGUCCAGUGAGUCCUCCACUACUGCCUCGCUCAGACCUCGUGUCCUCCUUCUACUUUCCUGAGCCGACACGACAGGUUACUAGCUAAUGGCAAUUUUCGGAAAGUUUCACCACAUUUUCCGUCGCAUGCAACCGCCGAGGCGCCGAACAAUGAUCCUACUAUAACUAUUCUCUCUUCACUCCAAUCUUCGAUGAUGCUGUCGUUGUUGUCACCCCAUAUAUGUGCAGGGACAGACAGAGCUCCUUAGAGCAGGUAGAAUAUAAUAGCCUUGCUAAACUAAUGCUAAUAUGAGGA
rnacentral:lncRNA from 1 species